CUUCGGAUGCUGACGAGUGGCGAACGGGUGAGUAAUACAUCGGAACGUGCCCGAUCGUGGGGGAUAACGAGGCGAAAGCUUUGCUAAUACCGCAUAAGAUCUAUGGAUGAAAGCAGGGGACCGCAAGGCCUUGCGCGAACGGAGCGGCCGAUGGCAGAUUAGGUAGUUGGUGGGGUAAAGGCUUACCAAGCCUACGAUCUGUAGCUGGUCUGAGAGGACGACCAGCCACACUGGGACUGAGACACGGCCCAGACUCCUACGGGAGGCAGCAGUGGGGAAUUUUGGACAAUGGGCGCAAGCCUGAUCCAGCCAUGCCGCGUGCAGGAUGAAGGCCUUCGGGUUGUAAACUGCUUUUGUACGGAACGAAAAGCCUCUUUCUAAUAAAGAGAGGUCAUGACGGUACCGUAAGAAUAAGCACCGGCUAACUACGUGCCAGCAGCCGCGGUAAUACGUAGGGUGCAAGCGUUAAUCGGAAUUACUGGGCGUAAAGCGUGCGCAGGCGGUAAUGUAAGACAGAUGUGAAAUCCCCGGGCUCAACCUGGGAACUGCAUUUGUGACUGCAUUGCUGG
rnacentral:rRNA from 1 species